AUGAGUGGGACGCUCUGUGCCCCAAAGCAUCAGUCAUCUCAUCGGUGGGGCACACCCCACCUGGACGGAUGCCCCCUUCUGCCGUCGGCUUCCCAUUCAUGUGAAAUCCCCCAUAGAGGAUCCGCCAAGGAUCUGGUGGACUUGAGGCUCUUUCCCGGUGUCUGCACCCAGGCGCUGGGCCAUCGCCAGCUCACUUCCCUUUCCAUCCCACAAAUCCUUGGUGCCUCCUCCACCGUGACUUGCAUACAAGCUGUGAUAAGACAAAGCUGGAAAGCUGAGCAAUGUCCCCGCACUCGGGAUCCUCUGUUAGCCUUGGACGGAUGUUACAAUACCAUUAGCAUUUGCAAAGGGGCAGCUCUGUCUCGUAGCUCGACCACAGACCGUGGGCUGCUCAGUUUGCGCUGCUCCAUUAUGUGGGAGACACAAAGAAGGCGGAGGCCGGCGAAGGCCUGUCAAGCCUCGAAAUGGAGCAGCCGCCCCGAAACCUCCUUCUGCUGUCCCGCCACCCUUGUUCCCUGCGCCGAGGCAGGCGUUGAAUGGCUCUGAGGUUGGGGAGUUAAUGGAGACUUUGUCCCGAGGCAGCAGAGCAGAAAGUACCCUGUGGCUGCUGGCAGCGGAGUCGGGCCACAUCGGCAGUGCCGACCCAGAGAUGGCGCAGAGGAGUCAUCCUAUGGACGGCUGCGGCGAGCUUUGUCCCGAUGUCCGUGAAAUUCAGUAACACGGGCGUGCCUGCUGCUGUUUGGAGCCUCAGCUUAGAGCAGAGAGCCCCCAAGAGCCCCUUUCUGACGCCCCUCCCCGGCUGUGGGGCCUCUCCCAACUUUAUCUCUUUCAGAUACGUCUAUGCACGUAUGUGUGGUUCUCCCAGGUAGAUAGUAAGCACCUCGAGGACAGAAACUGUUUUCACCACACAUGAGAUUAUCCCCAACUAUUAACCACAGUCCAAGGACUUUUUGAGGACCCCUGACCAAGUUUCUGAAAGAAGUAAGGUGGUUAGUUGUAGUUAGAGCUAACGGGGUCAUAGAUGUAGUUAGAAGGCACCUUAAAGGCCAUGGAACAAGAUCCCUCCAUUUUACAAAGGAGGGAUUUGCCCAGUAAAUGUGAGUCAGGAUUGGAAUCCACAUCUUCAGACUCCAAGCCCAGAACCCCAUCCGUUACACCACACUGCCCUGCCCUGACUCACUGUCUGAGCCAGGUGGGCGCAGAUGCCAGUCGUAGAUCUUGCUGGCUUUGCCGCUCAGGGUCUGGUGAGGCUGGAGAAUGUCGAGGCAGAACCUAUGGCCAGAAGCCAUCCCCUGGCCUGACCACCUGCUCCCAGGCAUCUCUCAGCAGCCCAGCAGCUAAGCGAGGUCAUCUCCUCUCCACAGGGCAGAUGAGACACUGUAUGAGCACGUGUUCCGAGGUGACCUGAGCCUCUGCCUAGUCCAGGAAAAGUCUGCUCAAUUAAAGGCACUUACAAGACUCAGUCAUUCAUUUUCCAUUACACUCUGCAAGACUCCACCCCUUUGUGCCCCCAACACCAGCAGCUGUGAUUGUAAGUUUGGGGGCAU
ensembl:lncRNA